UACGGAGGAUCCUAGCGUUAUCCGGAUUUACUGGGUUUAAAGGGUGCGUAGGCGGGUCCCUCAGUCAGCGGUGAAAGUCUGCGGCUCAACCGUAGGAUUGCCGUUGAUACUGGGGGUCUUGAAUUCGGUCAAGGUGGGCGGAAUGCGUGGUGUAGCGGUGAAAUGCUUAGAUAUCACGCAGAACGCCGAUAGCGAAGGCAGCUCACCGGGCCGACAUUGACGCUGAGGCACGAAAGCGUGGGGAUCAAACAGGAUUAGAUACCCUGGUAGUCCACGCCGUAAACGAUGUUCACUCGCUGUUCGCGAUACACAGCAAGCGGCUGAGCGAAAGCAUUAAGUGAACCACCUGGGGAGUACGAUCGCAAGGUUGAA
rnacentral:rRNA from 1 species